GUGCUCGCUUCAGCAGCACAUAAACUUCAAUUAAGAUGAUACAGAGAAGAUUAGCAUGGCCCCUGCACAAGGAUGACAUGCAAAUUCCUGAAGCAAAAAGAGUCUAA